UGGGGAAUAUUGGACAAUGGGGGCAACCCUGAUCCAGCCAUGCCGCGUGUGUGAAGAAGGCCUUUUGGUUGUAAAGCACUUUAAGCAGGGAGGAGAGGCUAAUGGUUAAUACCCAUUAGAUUAGACGUUACCUGCAGAAUAAGCACCGGCUAACUCUGUGCCAGCAGCCGCGGUAAUACAGAGGGUGCGAGCGUUAAUCGGAAUUACUGGGCGUAAAGCGAGUGUAGGUGGCUCAUUAAGUCACAUGUGAAAUCCCCGGGCUUAACCUGGGAACUGCAUGUGAUACUGGUGGUGCUAGAAUAUGUGAGAGGGGAAGUAGAAUUCCAGGUGUAGCGGUGAAAUGCGUAGAGAUCUGGAGGAAUACCGAUGGCGAAGGCAGCUUCCUGGCAUAAUAUUGACACUGAGAUUCGAAAGCGUGGGUAGCAAACAGGAUUAGAUACCCUGGUAGUCCACGCCGUAAACGAUGUCUACUAGCCGUUGGGGUCCUUGAGACUUUAGUGGCGCAGUUAACGCGAUAAGU
rnacentral:rRNA from 1 species